UACGGAGGGAGCUAGCGUUAUUCGGAAUUACUGGGCGUAAAGCGUACGUAGGCGGCUUUGCAAGUUAGAGGUGAAAGCCUGGAGCUCGACUCCAGAACUGCCUUUAAAACUGCAUCGCUUGAAUCCAGGAGAGGUGAGUGGAAUUCCGAGUGUAGAGGUGAAAUUCGUAGAUAUUCGGAAGAACACCAGUGGCGAAGGCGGCUCACUGGACUGGUAUUGACGCUGAGGUACGAAAGCGUGGGGAGCAAACAGG
rnacentral:rRNA from 1 species